rnacentral:rRNA from 1 species
GGCCUACCAUGGUGGUAACGGGUAACGGGGUGUUAGGGCACGACACCGGAGAGGGAGCCUGAGAAACGGCUACCACAUCCAAGGAUGGCAGCAGGCGCGCAAAUUACCCAAUCCCGACACGGGGAGGUAGUGACAAUAAAUAACAAUACGGGGCUCUUUUGGGUCUCGUAAUUGGAAUGAGUACAAUUUAAAUCUCUUAACGAGGAACAAUUGGAGGGCAAGUCUGGUGCCAGCAGCCGCGGUAAUUCCAGCUCCAAUAGCGUAUAUUAAAGUUGUUGCAGUUAAAAAGCUCGUAGUUGAAUUUCGGGGUCAGUAGGUUGGUCGUGCCUAUGGUAUGUACUGGCUUUACUGAUUCCUCCUUCUUGAAGAACUGUAAUGUCAUUAAUUUGGUGUUGCAGGGAAACAGGACUGUUACUUUGAAAAAAUUAGAGUGUUUAAAGCAGGCUAACGCUUGAAUACAUUAGCAUGGAAUAAUGAAAUAGGACGUUCGAUCCUAUUUUGUUGGUUUCUAGGAUUGACGUAAUGAUUAAUAGGGAUAGUUGGGGGCAUUAGUAUUCAAUUGUCAGAGGUGAAAUUCUUGGAUUUAUUGAAGACUAACUACUGCGAAAGCAUUUGCCAAGGAUGUUUUCAUUAAUCAAGAACGAAAGUUAGGGGAUCGAAGACGAUCAGAUACCGUCGUAGUCUUAACCAUAAACUAUGCCGACUAGGGAUCGGAUGAUGUUAAUUUUUUAUGACUCAUUCGGCGCCUUACG